rnacentral:rRNA from 1 species
CGCGUAGGCGGCUGUCUAAGUCGGAUGUGAAAGCCCCGGGCUUAACCUGGGAACUGCAUUCGAUACUGGGCGGCUGGAGAGAGGUAGAGGCGAGCGGAAUUCCGGGUGUAGCGGUGGAAUGCGUAGAGAUCCGGAAGAACACCAGAGGCGAAGGCGGCUCGCUGGACCUGUUCUGACGCUGAGGCGCGAAAGCGUGGGGAGCGAACAGG